rnacentral:rRNA from 1 species
UACGUAGGGCGCAAGCGUCGUCCGGAUUUAUUGGGCGUAAAGAGCUCGUAGGUGGUUCGUUGCGUCUGCCGUGAAAUCCUAUGGCUUAACUGUGGGCGUGCGGUGGAUACGGGCGGACUUGAGGUAGGUAGGGGAGAAUGGAAUUCCCGGUGUAGCGGUGAAAUGCGCAGAUAUCGGGAGGAACACCGGUGGCGAAGGCGGUUCUCUGGGCCUUACCUGACGCUGAGGAGCGAAAGCGUGGGGAGCGAACAGG